rnacentral:rRNA from 1 species
UACGUAGGGGGCAAGCGUUGUCCGGAAUUAUUGGGCGUAAAGAGCGCGUAGGCGGUCCGAUAAGUCGGCUGUGAAAGUCAGGGGCUCAACCCUUGAAAGCCGGCCGAUACUGUCGGACUAGAGUCCGGAAGAGGCAAGUGGAAUUCCCGGUGUAGCGGUGAAAUGCGCAGAUAUCGGGAGGAACACCAAUGGCGAAGGCAGCUUGCUGGGACGGUACUGACGCUGAGGCGCGAAAGCGUGGGGAGGCAAACAGG